rnacentral:rRNA from 1 species
GAGUUUGAUCCUGGCUCAGGAUGAACGCUGGCGGCGUGCUUAAGACAUGCAAGUCGAGUGGGUUUAGACCCACGGCGAACGGGUGAGUAAUACAUAGGAAUUUUCCUUAAGUUGAGAAUAUCCCACCGAAAGGUGGUGCAAUACUCAAUGUGAUCGCAAGAUUAAAGCCGCAAGGCGCUUAAGGUGAAGCCUGUGUCCCAUCAGCUAGUUGGUAAGGUAAUGGCUUACCAAGGCUACGACGGGUACCGGGUCCGAGAGGAUGAUCCGGCACACUGGGACUGCGACACGGCCCAGACUCCUACGGGAGGCAGCAGUUUGGAAUUUUGGACAAUGGGCGAAAGCCUGAUCCAGCAAUGCCGCGUGAGUGAUGAAGGCCUUAGGGUUGUAAAGCUCUUUUACCAGGGAUGAUAAUGACAGUACCUGGAGAAUAAGCUCCGGCUAACUCCGUGCCAGCAGCCGCCGCGGUAAU